UUGCAAUAUAUUAGUGUUUUUUCAAUGUAUUCUGACAAUGGAAAAGUUCCUAACCGCGUGUCUGCAUUACACCUAUGAACCAGACUGUCCGUAUUGCAAACCCUAUAUUAAGACUGUGCUUUCACUGUUUAUGUAUACACCCCUAGACAACCGUGCUAUACAUGCACAAUAAAUCUUCAAAAGCUUAUUAAUAUUAUAUCUGUGUGGUACACAAAGAGGUGUACACAAAGAGGGGGUGUGAGUUAGGUCAUCUCGACCUUCAUAUGGAAUAUGCUUCCUCCUUGUUCACUUUUGGUUAAACUGUUGGUCUGUGACUGGCCCUCUUUGACCCCAACUGAAUUUCUUGGGAAGAUUCAUGAGAAAGAUACAGCAGGUUGUUUUGAUAUAAAGAAAGAGGGAAAAGUAUGUUGUAUCGGUCACAAAAUGAUUGUGAUCUUAAGCAGGCGAGAUAAGGACAUUUUGGAGGGGAUAGGAGAUUGAAUCAGAAAAGUUUUAGAGGCAGAGGUAGAGAAUUUGAUCAAAGGAUCUAACUUUUGUAGAGGUGGUAACUUCAGCACUGUUUUAAUUGUGGAUAGCAGGGAUUCACCCAAAGGUGCUUGUGGUGAACCCGGUUCUCCUAGUCAAGCUGGCCCCACUGGUAUUGCCAGUGUCCCUGGCUUCCCUGGUGCCUGUGGUGCUCCUGGACCUAAGG